CUUGUCUGUUCGGGUCAAUAUUCAAAAGCUAAAUGUGGGUAGACGUGGUGGGAGCGUAGCUUGCUCUAUCCCAUAUCUCAUGUGCCUCGUGUCCUCAUAGUGUGAGGGUAAAGCUGACUGUUUAAAAGUCACUUUCCAUGUCUAAUAAAUCACUUUGUUUAUACAGUGCGAAUAAAGGUAUUUAAUUUCCUAUAGAGCAGUGGUGUUAAAGCAGUGUCCCAUCAAAACAAUUGGUCAUUUACUAACGUGAAAAUUCUUAGUGAAUUUCUAAUUUAAGCAUCGAGCA